rnacentral:lncRNA from 1 species
AAAAUUAACACUAAUGGUUUUACCAGUUUUGUUAAUGACGGUACCAGUUUUGUUGAUGACGGUACCAGUUUUGUUAAUGACGGUAUAGACUGUUCCAAAAGUAUGACCAAAGCUAAGAUUAAUAAAAAAAUAAAAAAAAAAUGGAAUCUAUUAAUACUGUAUAUAAAAUUCGUGAAUAAUAUAAUAGAAGAAAGUGCAAACAUAAAUGAUAUAUUAGCAUUUAAUAUUAGUUUUAUAAGAGAAAUAUAUAUAAUAGCUUAUGUGAUAAAAAGAGGUGGUUCUGUGUUGUUAAGUAGUUAUUACGGAUGUGGUUUGCAGUUGUUCAACUUGUUGGCCAAUCUUAUAUGCAUGCAUGGAGUUGUCUUUGGCGUUGGUGCUAGUUGUGGCAGUGGUGGUAGUGAUGGUAGUGACGGCAGUGAUGGUAGUGAUGGCAGUGAUGGUAGUGAUGGCAGUGAUGGUAGUGAUGGCAGUGAUGGUAGUGAUGGUAGUGAUGGCAGUGAUGGCAGUGAUGGCAGUGGUAGCAGUGAUGGCAGUGGUAGCAGUGAUGGCAGUGGUAGUAGUUGUGGCAGUGGUGGCAGUGGUGGCAAUGAUACUCCCAUAGAUUCUGAGUACUAUAAUACCCUGUUUGUUUAUAAAACUAUUUUUUCUUUUUUCUCUAUUAUUGGGUUACACAUACCAAUGGACAAUAACAACAGCUAUGUUUUUGUUUACCAAAAAAAUGGUACUGAUAAUUACCAAAAAAUAAAAGUUAAAACCAUGUCAUAUGUAGAUAUAUGGAAAAAUUGGGUUAUAUCAAACAUUUCGAGUUAUAUGUCAGAUAUAAGGAAAAACAGUAUAAGUAUCGUUCAUAAUGAUGUUAAUAGCACUACGAGCAACAACACUAGUAGCAGUGGUAAUAGCAAUAGCAAUAGCAAUAGUAAGAACGUAGAGUGCACAGAGAAUGCAGUUUUUUACUUUUUAAACUUAAUAAAAAAAAUAAUAAAAUAUAAAUACGAAAUGAUACAGACGUAUAUUCAUACGAUAUUAGUGAAUACUUGUUUUUUGAUUUUAAAAUUAUAUACUUGUAAAGAUAAAGAUUUUUUAUUUUAUUUAAACUGUAUACAUAGUAUGUUUAUGUUUCCUAUUAAUAUAACAUACCUAAUUUUUAUAAUGUUAAAAAUAUGUUCAUACUGCUUUAACUAUUUUUAUGGUCAAACCGAGAGAUUAAAACAGAUGUGUUUGUGUGUUGGUAAAAGUGACCCUAACGAAUAUAAUAGCAAUACAAACUCAGAUGAUAGUGUACUAAUAGAUAGUACAAAAACUGGUGGUAUUAUGUAUAUCAAUGGUAAUAUUAAGAUCGAAGAAAAAGUAAAUUAUAAAGACAUAGAAAGUUUUUUAAAAAAAAGUUGGAAAAGUGCAAAGGGAAUAAUUACAAAC